rnacentral:rRNA from 1 species
AGGACGAACGCUGGCGGCGUGCUUAACACAUGCAAGUCGAGCGGAAAGGCCCUUCGGGGUACUCGAGCGGCGAACGGGUGAGUAACACGUGAGCAACCUGCCCCUGGCUCUGGGAUAGCCUCCGGAAACGGGGAUUAAUACCGGACAUUCUCCUUCUUCCGCAUGGUUGAGGGUGGAAAGUUUUUUCGGCCGGGGAGGGGCUCGCGGCCUAUCAGCUUGUUGGCGGGGUAACGGCCCACCAAGGCGACGACGGGUAG